AAUUGUUCUGUAAGCAAUUCAUUCAUUCAAUACAAUUGAAGAAUUAUUCAAUGAUAAACCUCUUUCUCUCUCUCUCUCUCUCUCUCUCUCGUGCUUUACUUUAUGAGAAAACUCCAUUGCAGAAGCUUCACUUUCUGCAUCCUUAUAUGGUAUCUUCGCCAGUUGAGGUUCGUCUUCUCGAUCCUGAGGAUCUUUCUGCUUCCGCGCACCUUCUCUGAAGAUCGGUACACAUUUUUUUUCUUCUUAUUUGGUACUGCCAGUUCUUAUAUCUGUGAGUUUGCGAUCUGUAGUUUUCAUCUGCUGAUUGAUCGCCAUCUGUUCGAUGAAAUGUUUGAUUGAAGAUCUUCUCUUUCUGCUCUGCAAUUCUCUGUUCUUUCUUUCUUGAUUCUGCUCUAGUCUUCUGUGUAAUCAAGAUUGUGAAGUUUGAAACCCUAAUUUCUCAAAGGUUUUUGUGAAAAUUCCUUCACUUGUUGAAACUGUUAUAGCGAUAUGGUGACUCAUACUCAAUUGAAAAUUGUGCAAUCUCCGAUUAUGACUCUUAUUCCGAAUGUUACUACUUCAGUUACUGUGAAAUUAGAUGAUACAAACUAUCUCGUUUGGCAUUAUCAAUUGCAAUUGUUGCUUGAAAGUUAUGGAAUUCUUGGCUUUGUUGAUGGAUCUCGUCGAUGUCCCACUCAAUUUGAGAAAGAUUCUGCAGUUGAAGGAGUUGAAACUUAUGACUUUCAAAUCUGGAAAAUGCAUAAUCGGGCUCUCAUGCAACUUAUUAUUGCCACACUCUCUCCCAUUACUAUGUCCUGCAUUAUUAGGUGUAUGACUUCGUAUUAUAUGUGGACCAAUUUGAAGGACAGGUUCUCUACUGUCACCAAGGCUAGUAUUUUCCAGAUGAAAACUGAGUUACAGAACAUUAAGAAAAGUGCUGAUUCUGUUUCUCAAUAUCUUCAACGCAUCAAGGAUGCUCAAGAUCAUCUGUCUGCAGCUGGUGUUUUCUUUGAUGAUGAUGAUGUUGUGAUUUUAGCCCUCAAAGGGUUACUAGCUGAAUAUAAUACUUUCAGAACUGUUAUUCGCGGCCGCGAAAAUGUUUUCUCCUUGAAAGACUUUAGAGCACAGUUAUUGGCUGAGGAAGCUACUAUUGAAAAUAAUACAGUUUCUGAAACCUUUGCAACUGCUAUGCUUGCUCAAAAUAACAAUGGCAAAGGAAAAGCAUUAAUGCUUGGUGAUCAUGUUUCUGGCGAUUCUUCUAGUGUUUCAUCUCACUCUCCUACUCACAAUUAUGGCCCUUCUCACAAUGCGACUUCUGGAGGUUUUUCCAAUUUCAAUGGAGGUUUUUCUAAUUCUGGUUUUUGAGGAUGAGGACUAGGCAGAAACAACUUUCACUCAAACUUUCGAUUCAAUGGUGUUCCUAAUAAUGGUGUUGGAAUUCUUAAUUCACCAAAGCCUCAUGUCUCUACCUGUUCUGAGCAUGGCUAUGACAUUCCCGUGUGUCAAAUUUGUAACAAAAAGAGUCACAUAGCUUCAUACUGUUUUCAAAGGCAUUUUACCUCCACAUCUUCACCUUCCAGGGUUCAAUGUCAAAUUUGCUGGAAGUUUGGCCACACUACUAUUCAAUGCUAUCAUCGGGCUAAUUUUUCUUAUCAAGGGCGACCACUAUCACCAACUCUUACUGCCAUGCAUACCACUUAUCAGCCUUCUGCACCUCAAGAGUCUUUUUGGGUGGCUGAUACAGGAGCUACCUCACAUAUGACCUCGGAUCUUGGCAAUCUAAAUCUGGCAGAACCAUUUCCCAGCAAUGAAACAAUAACCACAUCUAGUGGUUCAGGUUUGAAAAUUUCUCAUAUUGGCUCUAAGAACUUGAAAACUCCUCGAUAUGCAUUUGAGUUGAAGAACAUAUUGCAUGUGCUACGUUUAUCUCAGCAUCUAUUGUCUAUAUAUCGAUUGUGCAAAGAUAACAAAUGCAGAUUCAUUUGUGAUGAAUUCUAUUUUUAGAUUCAGGACAAGGUCACCGGGACAAUCCUUCUUCAGGGACUGUGUAGAGAUGGUCUUUAUCCUAUCCCAUUUCAUGUUCCCCAAUAUCUCAUUUCUCAAGCACAAAAGUACACUGCAUCAUUCCAGCAGCAAGGGUGCUAUCUUGGACAUCAUGUCAAAAUAAAUGUGUGGCACCAAGGAUUAGGGCACCCAUCUAACAUUGUUGUCUCUACAAUGUUAAAUUAAUCUAAAAUCCCUACAUCUGUUGAUAAUGUGUCUUCUGUUUGUACAUAUUGUCUAGAAGGCAAGUUAACUAAACUACCAUUUGUUUUUCCUGCAAAUAAGGUUGUAAAACCCUUAGAGGUUUUCCAUAGUGAUAUUUGGGGGCAUUCUUCUACUGUCUCAGUUGAAGGCUACACAUAUUAUGUAAGCUUUGUUAAUGAAUGUACCAAGUUUACCUGGAUUUUUCCUUUAAUAAAUAAAAGUGAAGUUUACAGUGUAUUUGUUCACUUUUAUAACUUCUUAGUCACCCAGUUUUCAGCCUCUAUUAAAGUGUUUCAAAGUGAUGGUUGUGGAGAGUACACAAGUCAUAAGUUUCAACAGUUAUUACUUGAUAAAGGUGUCAUCCAUCAUAAAUCAUGUCCUUAUACUCCUAGUGUUCUAAAAAUCAGCCUAGGCAGCCGCCUAGGCGUUGGGCGGUGGCUGGCCGUGGGGAUUAACUCAAAAUCGGGAGAAAAAUCGGGACAUGAAUUAGGCAGCCGCCGAGACGGCCUAGGCGGCCUACUGAGUGGCCUAGGCGGUCCAUGAAUUUCAGUUUUGUUCUUUUUUUUUUCAAGAACGCAGAUCAGCUGCAAUCUUGUCUUUCUGGUUUUUGGUUCACGGUUUGGCGAAAGGAUGAAGACGAUGAAAGAUGACUUUCUUUCUCUCUCUCUCUCUUCGUUUCACACCACGUACAUGGGACAUACUUUUCUUAUUUAAUUUUUUUUCUUAGUUUCCCUCCAAUCAAGUUUUGACAGCAUGCAUCAAGUUGCUUGCUUUUUGUCAAAAGCCAUAGGCUGUCAGUCUUGCAUAUUGAUUUUUCUUGUAAAAAAUGAUGGGGUGUCAGUCCCUACAUCCAAACACCUUUAUUUCUCUUUAAAUUAAACAUAAUUUUUUUUUAAAUUACUAUGAACCAUCCACCCAUAUUCACAUCAGACCACCUAACUCACGUGGGAUUUUACUUUUAUUUUUUUUAAAUUAGAUAUAAUCAUUCAAAAUGUAUUAAGUUAUAGGGCAUAUAUGCUUAAUGUGUUUUUAAAUUUUGGACUUAUUAGAUACUUGUUUUGCAUUUUAUCCAUAGAUUUCAUACAAGUAUAAUUUUGUGUAAGUGUCAAUAUGUAUUAUUUACAAGAUAUACAAAAAAUUUACCUAAAUUCGCCUAGGCCGCCUAGGCGACCGCCUAGACCCCGCCUAGCCGCUUAGGCGCUAGGCGCUAGCCCGCCGCCCGACUAGCGCCUAGCAUUUUUUAGAACCUUGUAUACUCCAGAACAAAAUGGUUUUGCUGAAAGAAAGCAUAGACACAUUCUUGAGACAGCCAUUACACUUUUACAAACUGCUGCAUUACCAACAUAAUAUUGGUUUCAUGCUUGUGCCAUCUCUAUCUAUUUGAUCAAUUGGAUGCCAUGUCAAACUCUAAAAAUGUCUUCUCCGUUUUACUGUCUAUUUGGUACUUUACCAACUCUGUCUCAUCUUAAAGUGUUUGGUUGUGCAUGUUUCCCACUGCUAAAACCUUACAACUCCACCAAGUUACAGCCUAAGACAGCCCAAUGUGUUUUAUAGGAUAUGCAGGCCAAUAUAAGGGUUACUUAUGUCUUAGCCCAGUUUCUGGAUUUUUUUUUGUUUCUAGACAUGUCUUGUUUGAUGAGGGGAGUUUUCCUUAUUCCUCUAUCAUUAACUAUGUUGGUGCAUCUUCAUAUCAUAUUACACCACCAUCACAUUCCUUACACCUUUCACCUUUGGUCACUUCACAGAACAUCAUAGUUUCACCACUUUCAUAACAAGCUGUUUCUUUAACCUCUCUAGCCAUAGUGUCUUCUUCUGUUACAACCCUUAAUGCCUCAGAGUGUUCCAAUACACAUCUCCCUCGCGCUUCAGAGUUUUGUUCUACCCCAUUACCCAAUCUUGCAUCUUCUACACAGUCUGAUGUCCCUAGUGAUCCAGAUUUUCAACCUGAAAAUCUGCAAGUUAUCAAUCUUAUUCCUACUGUGAAUUUACAUCAUAUGCAAACUCGAUCCAAGAGUGGGAUCAGUAAGAAGAAGUCUUUCUCUGCCACUGUUUAGUCUUUCGUUGAUGUUACAGAACCUACAUCUUUCAAGGUAACCAAUAAAAUUUCUGAAUGGAAGGUUGCUAUGCAAGAUGAAAUAGAUGCUCUUCAUGCUCAAAAUACUUGGACCUUGGUUCCCAUGCCUGCAGAUAAGAAUUUAGUGGGCUGUAAAUGGGUUUAUAGAAUCAAGAAGCAUCCAUAUGGUUUCAUAGCCAGAUACAAAGCUAGGUUAGUAACUAAGGGCUAUAGUCAAGAUGAGGAUAUUGAUUAUACUGAGACUUUUAGUCCUGUUGUGAAACCUACUACAGUGAGGUUGAUUUUAGCCUUGGCCGCACAAUUUAACUGGUCUUUACGGCAGUUGGAUGUUAAAAAUGCAUUUUUGCACGGUGAUCUUCAUGAGGAAGUGUAUAUGUCUCAGCCUCAAGGGUUCCAUAGUACUACUCAUCCUUCUCAUUAUGUUUGUAAACUUAACAAAUCGUUGUAUGGUUUAAAACAAGCUCCCCGAGAUUGGAAUGAGAAGUUCACAAGCUAUUUGCCUGGUUUGGGUUUUCAACAGUCACUUGCGGAUCCUUCCUUGUUUAUUCAACAUUCUUCCCUUGGUAUUAUGGUGCUUUUGUUGUAUGUGGAUGAUAUCAUACUCACUGGGAGUUCUUCUGAGUUGAUUAAUGCAGUUAUUACAAAUUUAACAAAGGCAUUUGAUAUGAAGGAUCUGGGGCAGUUGCACUAUUUUUUGGGCUUGGAGAUCAAUUAUGUAUCUACAGGUUUGUUUGUCUCUCAUACCAAGUAUAUCAGGGAGUUACUUCAAAAGGUUGAUUUACAGGAUUCUAAAUCGUGUGCCACUCUUUGUUUACCAUAUCAUAGACUACUUAAAAUUGAAGGUACCCCCUAUCAUAGCCCUGAUCAAUAUCGAAAUGUAGUAGGUGCUUUGCAGUAUUUAACAUUCACUAGGCCUGAUAUUGCCUUCUUAAUGAAUCAUUGUUGUCAAUUUAUGCAUAAUCCUAUGGAUUCUCAUGUUGUGGCUGUUAAGAGGAUUUUGAGAUAUCUUAGUGGUACUAUGGACUAUGGUCUUCAUUUUCAAACUGAUCAACUGCAAUUACAAGCCUAUAAUGAUGCUAAUUGGGUGAGUGAUCCUAAUGAUAGGAGAUCCACAUCGGGUCACAUUGUUUAUCUUGGAUCUAGUCCUAUUUCUUGGGCUUCUAAAAAGCAACACACUGUCUCUAGAUCAUCCACAGAGGUAGAGUACAACGCUAUUGCCAUUGCUGUAGCUGAGUUGGCUUGGAUUAGAUAACUGUUAUGUGAUUUACAUGUCCCUCUUACUGUUCCUCCAGUGAUAUAUUGUGAUAAUAUAUCGGCUAUUGCUCUUUCUUCUAAUCAUGUGUUUCAUUCCAGGGUGAAACUUAUAGAAAUUGAGUAUCAUUUUGUCCGAGAAAGGGUUAUUCGAGGUGAUCUCAGUGUUCAACAUGUUUCUUCAAAAUAGCAGUUUGCAGACAUUUUGACUAAGGGCUUGUCUAUUUCGUUGUUUUGUCAUCAUUGUUCCAAUCUUAUACUUGGAUCAUCCAAGCAUAUGAUUGAGGGGGAUGUAAGGAUAUGAAGGGUCUAGAUAGUGACAAGUGUCAAGAGAUUAUGAAAUAAGUUGUUAGGUGGUUUAAGACAGUCAUGAGUGUUUACUUAAUGUGUAAGGAAAAGUUUUGAACUAUAUAUACUUGUAAUUGUUCUGUAAGCAAUUCAUUCAUUCAAUACAAUUGAAGAAUUAUUCAAUGAUAAACCUCUCUCUCUCUCUCUCUCUCUCUCUCUCUCUCUCUCUCUCUCUCUCUCUCUCUCUCUCUCUCUCUCUUCACUUUCUGCAUCCUAACACUAAGAAGGGAGUGUCGCCGUAUAUAUAUAUAUAUAUGAUUUUUAAUAGUAUGUGAGUGAGUUAGAACUUCAGAGAAUCUAAUAAAAAUAAAUAAUGAGUUUAGUCGUAUAUCACGAUAAAUUCUUGUUCAUUGAAUAAAUUAAGUAACACCAUGUGUAACAGUCAUGCCAAUAAUAUACUCAUGUAUCACAUUCAUUCUUAUAUUUGAGCUUUCCAUUUUUAAAUCACUUUUAUAUCUACCUCGAGAUUUGAUUUCAUUUUUUACUUCGGUCCAGGGAUUAAUUACAUGAAAUUUCAGAAGUUUAGCAAUGGUUCAUAGGGUAGAGGAUAAGCAGUCCAUCAUGUUAGGAAAAUAGGCAUUUGGGGUGAUGUGUCCUAUAAUCCUCCUACAUGUAUCUGAAGCCCCUCCACACAUUACUUAUUUAAGAAAGUUGAAAUUAGAAAUGCUUCAUGAACUUACAAUUUUCUUUCGAUUUGCCUGUUCGACUUUCAUUUCGUUUUAGCCCUCUAAUUAUUUAACGCAUACCAAUUGGCCUCAAAUCAUUGUCAUAUUUUUUAUUUGUUCUCCCCACUUGAAUGAACAAAAAUAACUCUUAAUUUGAUGAAAAAAUUUAGCAGUAUAAAACAAAUUGGCACAUUCUAAAAGAUUAGUAAUUGUCAUAACCAAAUUGAAAGUACAAAGAACAAAUCUGAAGAUUCAAGGUCAUGUUGCAUCCCUAAACUUUUCCCUUUUAAAGCAGAAAAUAAUUCGAAACUAUUUUGUUUAGAAGUAUACCAGCUUCUGCCUAUUUUGAUUUCAAUCCAACCCCAACCCCAACCCCAACCCUCACCCCUAUCUCUUUUUGUUGUUCAACCCCACCGUGGUAACCCUUGGAUAAAGACCAUUUUCCACCAUACACGCACGGGUGUGACCUGCAUAAAAUUUCUUUUAUAUUAGUUUUGCCCAUGGGUAAUGAUUCUCUCAUCUUUCUGGGACCACAAGGAUUGCAUGUGCAAUUACUCGCUUCAUUACUUCUUAGGUUAGAACCUCUAACUCGAGUUCAAACUCUAGGGAUGCAUUCUUUGGUGCCACUGACUUUGCUUUGACGGUGUAUCGUGUGACCCGGAGGAUAAAAAUAUGAUGUCGACUCAUGUGGUAUCGGGGCAACAUAAGCAGAGAGAUUAGUCUGACACUAAUAUGUUGUGCAAUACCUCUUAUAUUAAAGAAACUCGAAAACUAUUUUAAAGUUGUUUUCACUUUUUAAAUUUUGUUUUCAUUCUUUCUUAAUACUUCUUCCCUUAGCAAUUAAAUGAAAAACUUUAAUGCUACUAAUUUUACCAAAACAAAACAAAAAGAGUAGUGAUAUCCAUACACCAAUUUUUACUCCUCUCACACCCUUCUCAAUUUUUGGCCCUGAGAUCGAAUGAAUUGAAAAAGGUCAAUGGUAAAAAAUUAACAAGGAUGUGUGAGAGGUAAAAACAUGUGUGUGAAUAACACUUUCCAACAAAAAGAACACUACAACAUUACCAAUAAUGUUACAUAACCCAAAUAAACUACAUUUUGUUAGACUUAAGUCACAAAUAUUCAUUACCAAUAAUGUUACAUAACCCAAAUAAACUACAUUUUGUUAGACUUAGGUCACAAAUAUUCCUUUGUAAAAAACUAAAGUUUAGUAUACAAGAAAUACAAAUACUUAUGGGUCACAAAAAAAACCCUAAGAUUUGAUAACGAAAAUUCCCUUACACAGCAGUAAACUAAAUUGCUAACUAAUUAACUUUUUCCGCACAUAGAACAUGCAAAUAAAAAAUAUAAACAAAAUAGUUAUUAAACAAGCCCUAAACUAUUUAUGUUAACAUUAUUUGAAAUUAUCGAUGACAUGUUGGCAAGUUUGUUGUCAAAUAUGAUAUCAAGACAUAUAUUUGAUAUCAAAACAUAAUUGAUGGUAUUAAUAUUGACAGUCGUUCAAUAGUGGGACUAAAUUUCUGCCACCCUUUUUUUUCUCUAUUCUAUGGUUUGUCUAUAAAAAAUUUAGCUUUUAAUUUGUUUUCUUCUUUUUGCACAGGUUAUAUAAAUUUAGAGGAAAACUAAUGAAAAGGGCUUGAAAACUUUGAGUUUUAAUGAUAAGGAC
rnacentral:lncRNA from 1 species